rnacentral:rRNA from 1 species
GACGAACGCUGGCGGCGUGCCUAAUACAUGCAAGUAGAACGCAGUUGCGAACGGGUGAGAAAAGUGUAGGUAACUGCCUCAUAGCGGGGGAAAACUAUUGGAAACGAUAGCUAAUACCGCAUACAUUGAGAUGGACUUGCGUUGUAUUAGGUAGUUGGUGAGGUAAAGGCUCACCAAGGCGACGAUACAUAGCCGACCUGAGAGGGGUAACUGGCCAACUGGGACUGGGACACGGGCCAAACUCCUACGGGAAGCAGCAAGAGGGGAACUGCGGCAAUUGAGCGAAAUCUGACCAGGCAACUCCGCGUGAGUGAAGGAGGUUUUCGGAUCGUAAAACUCUGUUGUUGGAGGAGCGGUACCUAACCAGAAAGGGACGGCUAACUACGUGCCAGCAGCCGCGGUAAUAC